ensembl:snoRNA SNORA70 Small nucleolar RNA SNORA70
AUGCAACUGAUGAAGCUGACCAUGCUCUUUUUCCUGUGGGGGCCCGCUAUGCAAUGGUUACAAGUAGCAGUCUGCUCAGCAGUGUAUGCAGACUAUUGCUCAUAUAGAUUGCCUGAAGGGACAUAGAGACAACC